rnacentral:rRNA from 1 species
AACGAACGCUGGCGGCAGGCCUAACACAUGCAAGUCGAGCGCCCUUUCGGGGGAGCGGCGGACGGGUGAGUAACGCGUGGGAAUAUGCGCUUCUCUACGUACUAGCCUCGGGAAACUGAGAGUAAUACCGUAUACGCCCUGUGGGGGAAAGAUUUAUCGGGGAAGGAUUAGCCCGCGUUGGAUUAGGUAGUUGGUGGGGUAAUGGCCUACUAAGCUGACGAUCCAUAGCUGGUUUGAGAGGAUGAGCAGCCACACUGGCACUGAGACACGGCCCAGACUCCUACGGGAUGCAGCAGUGGGGAAUCUUACACAAUGGGGGCAACGCUGAAGUAGCCAGGACGCGUGAGUGAUGAAGGCCGGAGGGUAGUAAAGCUAUUUCAGCUGGGAAGAUAAUGACGGUACCAGCAGAAGAAGCCCCGGCUAACUCCGUG